rnacentral:lncRNA from 1 species
CGUAUUUGUUAAACAACCACACAUUUAGGAUCUCUAGGUGUUAUUGGUAUGCCCAUAAUGCAUCUAUACAUGCUUCAUCAUUUACAACAAUAAGAACUAAGUGGCUGGUUCGAUUUGUCCUGUUAUAUGAAGGGGUAAAUUUAUUAAAUCUAAUUCUUUGCUAAAUUUGUGUGUGGGUUUGUGUUUGUUUGUGGGGGAGGUGGCAUGACCGGCUGAAGCUGCCAACACCAGAUGUGGUUCCCGUGAGGGGCAGGGAAGCUGUGGCGCC